UGGGGAAUCUUAGACAAUGGGGGAAACCCUGAUCUAGCCAUGCCGCGUGAGUGACGAAGGCCCUAGGGUCGUAAAGCUCUUUCGCCAGGGAAGAUAAUGACGGUACCUGGUAAAGAAACCCCGGCUAACUCCGUGCCAGCAGCCGCGGUAAUACGGAGGGGGUUAGCGUUGUUCGGAAUUACUGGGCGUAAAGCGCACGUAGGCGGACCAGUCAGUCAGAGGUGAAAGCCCGGGGCUCAACUCCGGAACUGCCUUUGAAACUAGAUGGCUAGAAUCCAGGAGAGGUGAGUGGAAUUCCGAGUGUAGAGGUGAAAUUCGUAGAUAUUCGGAAGAACACCAGUGGCGAAGGCGACUCACUGGACUGGUAUUGACGCUGAGGUGCGAAAGCGUGGGGAGCAAACAGGAUUAGAUACCCGCGUAGUCC
rnacentral:rRNA from 1 species